CUGAGGGUCAUGAUUUUAAGUGAGUGCUGUUCUGCUGUAAUCGAGUUUCAAUGCUGCUGUAAAACCCCUGGUAGGUGUGACACUUAUGCACAAAGCAUAUUUUCAAUGUAUAAGAUUAACCCACAAAUUUCAAAGUCCAGAUUUGGGUCUUGUUAGGGGGCCAUUGCAACUUUUUACAAAGUGUGGGAAUUCCAUUGUGUGAUACAUUAAACCUCCAUUUAAAUAAUGCAAAUUCUAGUAAUGCUGUCCAUUUUCAGACGUCUUUGUAUAACUC